AGAGUUUGAUCCUGGCUCAGGACGAACGCUGGCGGCGUGCUUAACACAUGCAAGUCGAACGGAAAGGCCCUGCUUUUGUGGGGUGCUCGAGUGGCGAACGGGUGAGUAACACGUGAGUAACCUGCCCUUGACUUUGGGAUAACUUCAGGAAACUGGGGCUAAUACCGGAUAGGAGCUCCUGCUGCAUGGUGGGGGUUGGAAAGUUUCGGCGGUUGGGGAUGGACUCGCGGCUUAUCAGCUUGUUGGUGGGGUAGUGGCUUACCAAGGCUUUGACGGGUAGCCGGCCUGAGAGGGUGACCGGCCACAUUGGGACUGAGAUACGGCCCAGACUCCUACGGGAGGCAGCAGUGGGGAAUAUUGCACAAUGGGCGGAAGCCUGAUGCAGCAACGCCGCGUGCGGGAUGACGGCCUUCGGGUUGUAAACCGCUUUCGCCUGUGACGAAGCGUGAGUGACGGUAAUGGGUAAAGAAGCACCGGCUAACUACGUGCCAGCAGCCGCGGUGAUACGUAGGGUGCGAGCGUUGUCCGGAUUUAUUGGGCGUAAAGGGCUCGUAGGUGGUUGAUCGCGUCGGAAGUGUAAUCUUGGGGCUUAACCCUGAGCGUGCUUUCGAUACGGGUUGACUUGAGGAAGGUAGGGGAGAAUGGAAUUCCUGGUGGAGCGGUGGAAUGCGCAGAUAUCAGGAGGAACACCAGUGGCGAAGGCGGUUCUCUGGGCCUUUCCUGACGCUGAGGAGCGAAAGCGUGGGGAGCGAACAGGCUUAGAUACCCUGGUAGUCC
rnacentral:rRNA from 1 species